rnacentral:rRNA from 1 species
GAUGAACGCUAGCGGCAGGCCUAAUACAUGCAAGUCGAACGGUAAAUAUUUAGCAAUAGAUAUGAGAGUGACGUACGGGUGCGUAACACGUAUGCAACCUACCCUUUACAGGCGGAUAGCUCGGGGAAACUUGAAUUAACCCGCCGUAAUAUAAUUGAAUGGCAUCAUUUGAUUAUUAAAUCUACGGAGGUAAAGGAUGGGCAUGCGUCUGAUUAGUUAGUUGGCGGGGUAACGGCCCACCAAGACGAUGAUCAGUAGGGGAACUGAGAGGUUGAUCCCCCACACUGGCACUGAGAUACGGGCCAGACUCCUACGGGAGGCAGCAGUAGGGAAUAUUGGUCAAUGGAUGGAAGUCUGAACCAGCCAUGCCGCGUGCAGGAAGAAGGCCUUCUGGGUUGUAAACUGCUUUUGCCAGGGGAUAAAAUGACCUUGCGAGGUUAAUUGAAGGUACCUGGUGAAUAAGCCACGGCUAACUACGUGCCAGCAGCCGCGGU